UCUUUUAUUUCUUUUUUAUUUACGCUUUUUUAUUGUUUAUUAAAGGAAACAAAUAAUAAAAAGAAAAGGAAAGCGUACCUGGGGGGCCGAACCUUUGCUUCCUCCGUAGUAAUCGGAGUCGUGGCGAGGGGAGAGGGCCCUGGGACGGCAUUUUGCCGGAGCGGCGUAGAGGAGAGUGUUUUAGUUUAGGUUUUUUUUGUUUUGUUUUAUUAAAAUGAAAUGGCUGCUAAUUUAGGUUUUUUUUUCUAUUUUAUGAUGAGGAAAACGACACCGUUUGAGGUCUUUCUCAGUGGCCUAAAAACGGCACCGUAUUGGCCAUACUACCCGCGCAGGUGACCCGACCCGGGGAGGAUCCGCGCGUCCAGCCUAAUGGGCUAUUUCGGAA
rnacentral:lncRNA from 1 species